rnacentral:lncRNA from 1 species
UUUUUUUUCUUAAAUAGCCCAAAACCCGCAAUCGGGUUUCCCCCUUUUUUCAUUUUUCAUAUUUUUCCCAAGAAAACAUUGAAUUUAAAUCAAAACAACUAAAGCAUAAUUUUUGAAUGCUUUUCCUUUUUUUCCGAGAAAUUCUAUGCUAAAACUUAAAAAUAAAAUAAUAAAAUAAAAACUAAAAACUAAAAAGUGAAUAAACCUAGCAUAGUAAAUGAAAUUUCACUGAAAAUUUGGUGUCUACAACUUAUUGACAUUUGAUUGGAAAGUAGUUUGAAAAUUUUGGAACAAUUGAACAGCGGGAGAUCUCCAACAAAAUGAGGACAAAUCCGAAUGAACGAUUGGUUUUGGUUGGCACAAGAAUUUAUACAAAUUAAUUUAACUUUGACGAGCUUGUUAUUGAAGAAAUUUGAAAUUUUCUAACACAGAUCAAAACCCUAAUUCAUCCAAAUCAAAUAAAUGCAAUGGGUGAUUUUCUUAAAAACAACUAGGUUUCUUAAUUUGAAAUUUGACAUUAAAACCCUAAUUAAUCGACUGGGUUGGAUGAAAUUGAUGAUUUAUUCAAAAAUCGAUAAGAUUGCCCUAAGAACUAAUCAAAUGAAUGGAAUAAAAUUGGUGAUCUAUUCAAAAAUGGGUAAACUAGUCAAAUAAAUUCAAAGUCGACUAGGUUGCCCUGAACAAAUUGAUAAAAUGGACUGAAUAAAACGGUCCAAUGGAUUGAAUGGAAUUGACAGAUUAUUGGUAGUUUCAAAAUUUUAUUGCGAUACAUUAGUCUAUGAGCCUUCUAAUAUCAAAAUUUGGCCUCAAUUUAUUUAUCAUCUCAACAGUGAGGAAAUAUUGGUGAAUUUGUUCAAAUUAAUGUCCUUCAUGCAAGGGAUUUUUACCAAUCUUGAUAAAAUGGCCAAAAAGUGAUUAUUUAAACGCUCAUAUUCCAAAGAUCGCUCUAUGAAAAUGAUCGGAUCCUGCCUCACCUUGUGCACUACCCCUUUGGAUGGUACAAAAAUAUAAACGUGCAAGUCUCCUUGGAUUAAAUAUCCGAGAUACAAGGCGGUUUAGUCCUAACAUGGGAUCCCCUAAAUGGCAUUCUCUUUCUAUGGUUUAUGCGUGAUGCCAAUUUAUUAAAGCAGUAAAAUAUGCAAUUCGAAAUGAAACAUGACCUAAGGAGCCCUUUAUUUGCCAGGGUGAGUCUAAAAUGAAAUGUGUUCAUGUUACAAAUGCAAAGCAUUGAAAAUGUGUCACAUCAAAUGGAGUAGGCUCCUAGAGAGUACCACGCCAGGUCUCUUAUUUUCUAGGGCUGAUGAAUGCGAUGGAGACAAAACCAAGAAAAGUUAGUUCAGCCAGAUGAAUACACAUAACACAUUGUAGCAACGAGAUAAAGCAAUAAAAUCAAUGCAAAGAAAUAAAGCAAUAAAAGGGAAAAAGGGGUUGGAUCCCUCCCCUCGUGAAUAGUGUCCCUAAUAAGGCAAGGCAAACUCUACCC